AUUGACAGAUUGAUAGCUCUUUCUUGAUUUGGUGGGUGGUGGUGCAUGGCCGUUCUUAGUUGGUGGAGUGAUUUGUCUGGUUAAUUCCGAUAACGAACGAGACUCUGUCCUGCUAAAUAGAUCCAGCCUUUCUUUGGGUUGGACUUUCUUCUUAGAGGGACUGGCGAUUAUUAGUCGCACGAGAUUGAGCAAUAACAGGUCUGUGAUGCCCUUAGAUGUUCUGGGCCGCACACGCGCUACACUGAAUUGAUCAGCUAGUUUUUCCUUUUGCGAGAGCAACGGGUAAUCUGCUGAACCCAAUUCGUGGUAGGGAUUAGAGCUUGCAAUUGUUCUCUAUGAACCAGGAAUCCCCAGUAGGCGCGAGUCAUAAGCUCGCGUCGAUUACGUCCCUCCCUUU
rnacentral:rRNA from 1 species